AUUUUUAUCCAAGCUAAGCACUAAAAUUGAAACAACACAAGAAGAUUAGCAUGGCCAGUGUGCAAAAAUGACAUGCAAAUUCAUGAAGCGUUCCACAAAAAA